CCAUCUAUUUCCUCUUAGGACUAAUAAGAGGACUCCAAUGAAUGACUGAAGACCGCCAUUUCCUCUCUCACUCGUAAGCACUGCCACCAAGCUCACCACCACCACCACCACCACCACCAGCUCACGAAGACAAUCCCUAGAAAUCCGCACAAUGAGCUAAAAACCCUUCCUUGCAACACUCGCCCACACCCACAAAACCCUAGACUGGAUUGAUGGAGCGAUCCCGCUCCAAGCGCAGCAGCUACCACUAUGACCAUGACUCUGACCCUCCAACCCCUCCUUCUCGAUCCAAGCCUCGCCGCCACCACCCCUUACCCCCCGCCGCUGCCCACCAUCAUCGCCGCCCCGAUCGUCGUCCUACCAAGCUCCCUUCCCCUCCUCCUCCCCCUCCUCCUCCUCCUCCUCCUCCUCCGCCUCCCCUUGCUUCUGCUCCUGCAACCACUGCCACCACUGUGUUCCGCAUCCUUUGCCCGGAAAUCAGGGCCACUGCCGUCGUUGGUAAGUCUGGGAACUCUAUCAAGUUCAUACGGCAAAAAACGGGCUCGUGGAUCACUGUCCACGAGCUUGUCCAUGGGGACAAUGAGCGGAUCAUCGAGACGUCGGACUCGAUGCGGCGCGAUCCUGAUGGCCGUCCCCCUCAGUUCUCGCCUGCACAGGACGCGCUGAUUUUGAUCCAUGAGCGGAUCGUGGACACGGAGCUGGAGUUUGGCGGUGGCGAGGAUGGGGAUGAGUUCGGCGGUGGGUGGGAGAGGAGUGGUCGGGGGAGGAUUACGACGAGGUUGGUUGUGCCGAGGAGUCAUGUUGGGUGCCUGCUCGGGAAGGGCGGGAAGAUCAUCGAGCAGAUGAGGAUGGAGACGAAGACGCACAUUAGGAUCCUGCCUCGUGAUCAGUACACGCCGCAAUGCGUCUCGCCCUCCGAGGAGGUCGUCCAGGUUGUUGGAGAAGGUAUUUGUGUGAAGAAAGCUGUGGAGAUCAUCUCCUCUCGUUUAUUGGAAAGUCUGCAUCGUGACAGGGGCCCAUUUCGUGGGCGAUUACAUUCUCCAGAGCAUUAUUUCCCCCAUGAUGAUGAUUUCAUGAACAAUGCUCAAAGUCAAUCAGCACUGGAAGGCUUUGAUGUUGGAUCAAGGUCUUCCACAGGAGCAAACCGAGCUAGAAACAAGCUACAUAGUUCAAACUCAUCCAGAUUUGCAUUUGAUUCUGACGGUAAUCAGGCCGUUGACAAUUCACAGUCAUUAUCUUCCGAUGAUAUUAUAUUUCGCAUUCUGUGCCCAAAUGAGAAGGUUGAGAAUGUCAUGGGGGUUUCUGAUGGAAUUAUUGAAAUGCUUAAGUCUGAUAUUGGUGUUGAUGUGAAGGUUUGUGAUCCUGUUCCUGGGUCAGAUGAACGUGUUAUUGUUAUUACCUCUGAAGAGGGUCCUGACGAUGACCUCUUUCCAGCUCAGGAAGCUUUGCUUCAUAUUCAGACUAACAUAGUAGAUCUUGGUCCUGACAAGGAUAACAUCAUAACCACAAGGCUUCUUGUUCCAGCCAGUGAAAUUGGCUGUCUAGAGGGAAGGGAUGGAUCUUUAUCAGAUAUACAGAAGUUGACCAGUGCUAAUGUUCAGAUAUUACCAAAGGAAGAUCAUCCACUUUGUGCGAUGGAUGCUGAUGAGCUUGUACAGUGCUUACAGAUUGUUGGUGAGAUAAGAGCUGCUCGCAAUGCUCUUGUUCAGAUUACUGCACGAUUACGUAGUCACCUAUUUCGUGACAUAUCCAUACCAAAAGAUUUGCUGGCACAAUCCAAUUCUGCUUCAAACCAUGCCAGUAGUGUUAGUGCAGUUGAGCCCAGCUCACCUGUUAAAAAUUCACCUCUUGAAGGCUACCAAGGAAGUGAUCCGUCUGCCUCUGUUCGUCAUAAUACACAUGCACAACCAACUACAUGGCAAUCCAAGGAGACUGGAGGAGUUGCUAGUGGACCAUUGGAGCAGGAUGAUAGCACUAUAAAUGAUGAAGGCCGAAGAAGUAUGCCAAGAAGACUCAGCGCACCACUAGUUACCAAGACUACAUUGGAAGUCAUUAUACCAGAGCAUGCAGUUCGGAGCCUAACCAUGAGAUCAGGAAGCAAGCUUGCUCAGAUUAGUGAGUUGUCGGGAGCAACAGUUAGCCUUCUUGAGGAUGGGUCUGAGCAAACAGACAAAGUCGUUAAGAUUUCCGGGACACCUGAUCAGGCUGAAAGAGCCCAGAGCCUGCUUCAGGGCUUUAUACUAAGCACACAAGAUGAUGUUCCAAUGAGCUAAUAAAUAAACAGCUGGUGUGCAAAGCUUUACUGCUAGCAAAGGGAUAAUACUACUUCAACACCAAUCUGGCUAUCACCAUUUACAAAUUGUCCCUGAUAACUCCGAGAUAUUUCAUUAGUAAUUGGAAGUCCAGCAUGGCAAAUUUUAACUUGUACAAAGAUUCAAGCAAACUAUGAUCAAAAAGUUUACUGGGGAGCUGCCCAACUGCAAUCUGCAGGUGAACAAACAAACAAACAAACACUACUCAUUACAAAGAUGAAAAAGGAAAACCACAGGUAUGAUUUAUUUAUCAAAAAAAACAAAAAAAAAUUCUUUCCUUCUUAGCUACAAACUGUAUCUGGGAUGGGACCAUUCUAUAAUCCUAUUAUGUCAAAUCAAUCUUUGGUAUUAUUAUUGUUAUUAAUAAUUACAAUUAAUGUCAACUUUUUCAUGAUUAGAUUCUUCAUUUAUCUCUUAUUGUCUUGUGCCCCUUGUCCACUUAAAAGUCACCAAUUCUCCAGACUGAGAUUUGUACUUAGGGUGGUGAGAUUUGAUCCUCAUAUUAGAUCUCAUUUAACACCUUGGUGAAUUCCAUGCAAUUAGGGUUAAACAAG